ensembl:lncRNA
GCAUUACAACAACAGCUACAUAUAACACAUAGUAGGACUAGGGAUGUGCACGAGUUUUCUUAUGAACUUGGUCAGCAGGUGAAUGUGCAGGUCUCCACGUGACAUUAUUACCGUGGGGUCAAGCUUUUUAUCAACAGCUGUUAUGCAGCUACAGUUAACACUUUGAGUCAAGCCACCAAACACAGCAUCAUAGACAAUUAUGGGUAAGUGGAGCAAAACACUGACUUUGUGGAACAUUUAUCAGACACAAAUUACUGUCUCACACACACAUCCAGGUGUUUACAGGAAAGCCGGAUAAAUCCAGGUGCUUCAGGAUUCAGCUUCUCCAGAGCAAAUAUGUUCAGUUCUCCUUUGGUGCUUUGCAGUUCAUUGAGUCUCUAGAUGCCCAUGUGUGUUUGUGUGUUUGAUUCUUUUCUUUUUUUGAAGACAAAACUGAGUUGUACUGUGUGUUGUGAUGCGUUCAUUCAUUGUGUGAUUCAUCAUAUUAUCUGUGUGAUUUAUUGUAGGUCGCACUCCAUUUUGAGCUCCCUGUUUCUGGUGAAGGCCCUAAUCCAAUACAGAAGUCUUGUUUUUACUGCCACACAGAAAAAAGGGUUCGUAAGCAGUGAUCCUGUGACUUCUCCUUUCUCAACUUUGGCUUCCUCAACUCUGGACUCCACUCUCAUGGCUCAUAGCAAUGAGGACGUCAUGUGGUUUGAAGCCAAACUGGCCAGAGAGCCCCAGAGGUCCUACACCCACAAGGACUUUCUUGCUUCUGUUACACUGAUAUCUUCUGAGGAGGACCAUGAUAAGAGACAGCACACGUCUCAAAUCAGCACAGUGAAGCUCACAGAGGAGGAAAGAGAAGAGAAACAUGGGGAUGUUGAGAUUUUUAUUGCAAUCAGUAAGAGUAUUGUGGGAUCUGAAAGGCCAGAUUUAGACCCCAUGUAGCAGCUUGACGUUACAUCCUUGGGCUCGUCUGGAGACAGAAAAAUGCAGAACAUGAAUAAGGGUUCAGAUUACUCACUGAGGAAAGUUCAGAGAGUGGGAGGAGAAGUCCCUGAUAAGGACAAAAGGUUCCACAAAGACGUCAGUUAUGGUUAAUGAAUCCAUGGGGCUACAUUCCGAUAUGGAUGAAUCAACAUUGAGAGACUGGCAACUGGAUGAGGUGUUUCUGCCAUCCUUCAUUUUAGAGGAAAAGGAUACAGAAGAGGAAAAUUCUUCUGAAAAUAAAAGGGAAGGUUUGAAUUUCCA